AUAAUCUCGUCAUGCGAACCGAGGGGUGGCUGAAAUCAGCCCGCAAACCUAGUCAGAACAAAAGUGGGUUAAGUCCAUAAAUUAGAGCUGCAAUGCUCAGCGUUUGGGAUCCUCAGCCUGGGAACCUGGCCGUCCAGUGUUGGUUUGGGGCUGGGUUGUCACCAGCACUGUGCCUGGCAGGGGGAGCAGGGAGCCACAGGCAGCAAGCCCAGAUUUCCCUCCUCUCGGGGCGCAUUCGGCUGAGCUCUGUCUCGUAUGUCCCUUCCAGGUGGUAUGAGGAACACGAAAGACAGUCGCUUCCCCUGGCCAACAGUGGUAGCCGUCCUGCUCCUCUUCUGCAGUUUUCUAAUAGCUUUAGGCAUCAGGAAAUGGUGUCAGUACCAGAAAGAGAUUAUGAACAGACCUCCAUCUUUCAAGCCACCGCCACCUCCGAUAAAGUACACCUCCAUGGUGGAGUCUGAUGGGACUCCCCCAUCCUGCCAUGAACUGGAAAACCUGUAACGUCCCCUACGCCCCUGGUGUAGUGCUCAGAAGACUGACACAGUUAAAAGGCUCUGUCUUUAAAACAGUGAUUACAGGAGUUUGGUGUUAAUGACCCAUAUUAAAAUUCAGAGUGCCUAAAUGACAUUAAUGUUGGAAGCUGAGCACUCCUGAGGACGCUUACUUCAUCCCGUCUAUCUCUAUGUAUGCAUUACGUUAACACCCCUGUGAGUGUCACCAUGAGAUUACAUGUGCUUAAUUUGAAUUGGGUGAUCAACUGGGAAUUUGCUGUCUUGUUAAUGGGAACAGAUUAACACAUCACUCCGCCAGCCUGCCUGAAGAGCGUUGAAGCUUUUUGUUUUACUAAGUGUAUGGAGACGACAGCUCUGCCAUAUGGACACCACGAUUACACUGGAAACAUUGGCUUAACACAAGCUUUUUGAUACCUACGUGAGCCAUUCUUACAAUUAUUAUUUUUACUGUACAGAUAUUGACUACUAUGACCCAAUAUAUAAUUUCCUAUCCCUGUGAAACCAAACAAAAAGUAGUCAACUCCUUACACGGAAAGAAAAUAGUCCACAUCUGUCGUUACAGGUCUGCAGCACAGGAUUGCGGGGAGGGGUUGGUGAGAUGAAAGGGCACAGUGCAGACCUGCUGGGAGUGUUCACGAAGAAGACUCGGUCGCCAUCGGUGAAGUCACAAGAAAAAGUCAACUUUGGGCUCAUAUACAAGCCACCUGUGGACCAGAGACUUAAGGACUGAAGUGAAUAAGAACCCUAAAGACAGUGGAAAAUGCCAGUCCUUUUGGAAGUGCUGUGCCUUUGAAACAAUGAUUACUCUCGAGUCUGCUUUUCUGAAAUUAUACUGAUGGUACACAUGAUGAAAGAAAGGAAUAUAAUCAUUUUAUUCUCCUUGGGUCUUAAUGAGCUUCUGGCAUUUGCUAUCUUCACAUUUUUCAAAACCUCCGGGGUAGUUUCCCAGGUGGCUUAAGCCCAUGGAUGGGACAGUCCAGUCUUACCACCACCCUGCCCAGGCUGCACAUUUCCUUGCAUUGACACUACUGAUUAAAUGAGCGUGCCGAGGGUGGGAUCAGCUCAGCCCGCCGCACAGUUCUCAGCCAGGUCAGCAGCUGUGUGAUCACUAAUGCAAGGCACAAGAGCUGCAGCAGCAGCAGCACUGCUUUUGGCAGCAGUGGUCUUACUUUACCUUCAGCCAGCCAAGAAACUGUCCCUCCAAGCUUGUUUGAAAAUGUAUUGUUACCACAAUGGCUUUUCUGUAAUUAAUGCAAAUCAACUAAAAUUCAAUCAGGUCAAGCUUAAAAUUGGUAUUCUGAUUUAAGAAUGGGAUUUGCUUUAUUUACUGCUAAACACCGGUCGAUGAGCGUCAAGGUUCAGAGCCCUGCAUUUCCCUGGACUUUAGAUGAAUGAAUGACUUGACUUACUGGAAAGAACGAUCCGACAGAUGUUUUUAAAAAGUAGUUUGUUGUAUUAUUUACCUUAUAGCACAAGCAGUUCUAAAUCCAUCAAUGAGAGAAUAUCUGAG
rnacentral:lncRNA from 1 species